AUACGUAGGGUGCAAGCGUUAAUCGGAAUUACUGGGCGUAAAGCGUGCGCAGGCGGUUUUGUAAGCCAGAGGUGAAAUCCCCCGGCUCAACCUGGGGAAUGCCAUUGAGAAUUCAAGGCUGGAGGGCGGCAGCGGGGGAUGGAAUUCCGCGUGUAGCAGUGGAAUGCGUAGAUAUGCGGAGGAACACCGAUGGCGAAGGCAAUCCCCUGUGCCAGCGCUGACGCGCAUGCACUAAAGCGUGGGGAGCAAAUAUGAUUAGAUGCCCUGGUAGUCCACGCCCUAAACGAUGUCAACUGGUUGUUGGGGAUUAUUUUUUCAGUAACGAAGCUAACGCGUGAAUUGGACCGCCUGGGGAGUACGGCCGCGAGGUUAAAACACUAAUGAAUUGACGGGG
rnacentral:rRNA from 1 species